rnacentral:sRNA from 1 species
UGAUAGUUUCUAUGUAAGUGUUUGUA